UGGAUGGGCAGCUUUGGACGCUGACCGCCUGGAAGCAGGCACUUCGCUCCUGACCCCUGUAGCUUCUGGGGAGAAAGAACCUGGUCAGGGACCACGGGUGGACAAUCAGCUCUGUCAGGGAGCUCUGCUUGCCUGUGAGCUGGAAGAGAGGACACCAGGGAGCGACGGAAAGAGAAGAAGAGGUGAGAAUAACACUCUGUGGGUUUGGGAGGUGCUGGAGCGUCCACUGCUGCGCGCCGGGACUGCGGGGUGGACACUGGAGGAGAACCCGCCCUCGACCUCCUAAGGCCCGGACAGCUUCUCAUGUGGUCCCUGCCUCUCUGUCUCAGAUCCACGUUUAUCCUGUGUUCCUGAGUCCUGUUUCUAAACUGUUUUCUGCAACUUCUUUCCCGCUCACCACCUGCCACUCCUGGAAGUGGGACUGUGGACUGGAAAGAAAGUCGCCUCGUGAAGAUCCCGAGAAGGACAACUUUGCCCUUCUCUACCCGCCCCUGACCUUCGACCCCUCAGGCCGCAGGGCUUGAGGAGGUACCUCGGAGAGGCCUUCGGCAAGGACAGAAACAAGGACCUGUUUUCUGCAGUGAGCGAGGUGGGGGAGCCGCGGACACCCAAAUUUAGGAAACGUUAGCUCGACUCCUAGAAGGGAAUUGCAAGAGGUCUAGAAACGGCGGCUCGGAAAUGACCAAGAAUAUAAAUAAUACAUAAACCAGGACUUUGGGCGGCGUGAGGUCCGUUGGCACCCACUUCCCAGAGCUUGCGAGAAUGUAUUGAGUCAUCUAGUCUCCAGGUUUGCUCAGAUUUCUAGAGAUGAAUGAAAACAUUCCUCUUCCAUCGGAAGAAAGUCCGGAAUUUCACGUCUUCACGCUGGGGCAAAGUGCUCAGAAGAUGAAAGAGACCUAAACUGGAAUGCAAGUCCCUGGAAGGAAUAGUCCACAGCAUAUGCUCUUCAGCCUCAGGCUGGACAAGUCCUGGAGCUCAAGGAACAGUUGACCAGGAUGCAGUGCUAUG